rnacentral:snRNA from 1 species
GUACUUACCUAGCAGGGAACAUUUGAUCAUGAAAGUGGUUCUGGCAGGGUAAGUUUCAUCCACUGCACUCAGGUCACUCUGACCCAGGCAAUUUCCCCAAACAAAGAAAACUCGACAGCAAUUUCUAUUGGUGAAGGACUGCAUUUGCAGGG